rnacentral:rRNA from 1 species
CGCCUGUUUAUCAAAAACAUAGCUCCUAGAACAUAUAAGGAGUCCCGCCUGCCCAGUGGCUCAAGCUAAACGGCCGCGGUAUCUUGACCGUGCAAAGGUAGCAUAAUCAUUUGUCUUUUAAAUGAAGACUUGUAUGAACGGCGUAACCUUUUCCAACUGUCUCCCCUCUCCCCCUCACAAAUUUCUUUUUGUGUGAAGAAGCACAAAUAAACCAGAAAGACGAGAAGACCCUGUCGAGCUUUAGCCAAUAAGUGAACAAACUACCUCGCAGUCAUCACCCAAAGGCUUUGGUUGGGGCAACCACGGAGAAAAAAAACCCUCCAGAACAAAUAGAAGAAAACCCUUCUCUACUAAAAUUAACUCAAGAACCAGGAACUGGCAUUCGGAAAAAGCUACCGCAGGGAUAACAGCGUCAUCCCCUUUGAGAGUCCUCAUUGACGAGGGGGUUUGCGACCUCUAUGUUGGAUUGGGGCCCCCUUAGGGUGCAGAAGCUCUAAAUGGUUAGACUGUUCGUCUAUUAAAGCCCUACG